AUUGAACGCUGGCGGCAUGCCUUACACAUGCAAGUCGAACGGCAGCGGACCUUCGGGUGCCGGCGAGUGGCGAACGGGUGAGUAAUAUAUCGGAACGUACCUUUCAGUGGGGGAUAACGUAGCGAAAGUUACGCUAAUACCGCAUAUUCUGUGAGCAGGAAAGCAGGGGAUCGCAAGACCUUGCGCUGAUUGAGCGGCCGAUAUCAGAUUAGCUAGUUGGUGAGGUAAAGGCUCACCAAGGCGACGAUCUGUAGCGGGUCUGAGAGGAUGAUCCGCCACACUGGAACUGAGACACGGCCCAGACUCCUACGGGAGGCAGCAGUGGGGAAUAUUGGACAAUGGGGGCAACCCUGAUCCAGCGACGCCGCGUGUGUGAAGAAGGCCUGCGGGUUGUAAAGCACUUUUAGUGGGGAGGAAGGUCUGCGACCUAACACGUCGUGGAAUUGACUUAACCCACAGAAAAGCACCGGCUAACUCUGUGCCAGCAC
rnacentral:rRNA from 1 species